AAUAGAAUCAAAGCAGUAUUUUUUUCAAAAAACUGGAAUAAGAGAUGUCGUAAUGUGUGUCGAUGGAACACACAUACGCAUCAUGAAGCCACGCUUUAGACCAAUGCCGUAUCUUAACCGUAAAAAGUACUAUAGUAGCAACGCUAUGAUUGUGUGUGAUCAUAAAUGCCGCAUUAGAGCAGUUGAUCCGAGUUUUGUGGAUCUUCUCAUGAUUCGUACGUAUGGAAUUCCAGUCCUGUACGUGAUCAUUUUGAAAAUAUGCAUGCCACUGGUGGAACCGAUAAAUUAUUAGGUGAUGCAGGAUAUCCAGCUGAGCCUUGGCUCGUAACGCCAUAUCGUGAUCCUGAAGAAGGAUCUGUUGAGUCUAAUUUUAACAUUAGACAUACCAAAGUAAGGAACGUUGUCGAACGUACAAUAGGAAUAUUGAAAACACGCUUUAGAUGUUUAUUUGGUGCUAGCAA